AUACUUACUUGGUGUCGAGGUUAACCGUGAUCAUAUAGGCGGUUCCUCCAGGGCGAGGCCGUAUCAUUGCACUCCGGUACGGUUGACCCCUGCGAGUAUCCCUUACGCGGAUAUCUCGGGCACGUAAUUUUUGGUAGCUGGGACUGCGUUCGCGCCGUCCCUA